UGAGGAGACAAUCUUGAUAGGAAGUUUGAACUUUGAAAUAAUAUUUUAUUCUACCACCCAUCUAAAGGCUAAUUAAUCACAAAUGUUAAACCAAUCAGAAGAAAAUGUUUGUUAAACCAGAAAAGGCUGUUACCUCUCACAGACAAGUUUCUUUCUUUAGGUCAACAUAUCUGGUGUAGCUGUCAGGAUUCAGAGCAACCUCCUCACACCCUGGACCACCUAGUGAUCCCUCCUGGACUCAGCACUCAGCACCAGCACAAACCUACUGUGUUUCUCUGUCUCCACAUCUUUCCCUGAGUACAAAAGGUAGCCCUGCGUGAGUAGGCAUCUUCCAUCAUCAGAGAUCUCCAACUGAAGCUGACCUGCAGCCAGUCACCUGGUUCUUCAGACCAGGACAAGAAAUUGAAACUCAGUUUAAAAAGAUCACUCAAAAGGCUAAAUGGCUACAAGAUGACCCAUGGUUGGAAAGACAGACCCCUUAUAUGAUUUAUUUGACUGGUUACCUUCAGGUAUUGGAAUAUUUCUCACAUUUGGAUUUCAAAUUGUUUAAUUAGUAAUUGUCCUUAUUUGUGUCAUAUUUUUGAUUCUUAAAUCAAUUAUGCUUUGCAUUUCUCUAUCUAAAGUGUUUGUUGACAGAAACUAAACUCAUGAUAGCUAGAUGCAUAGAAAUUAUUCAACACGCCAUACUUCCUUUGUAAGUGGAUGAAAUCCUGAGACCCAAUUCCUCUGCCCCUUUGUGUUGCCAGUUAAUUUAGCCUAAGACUUCACUAAAUUCUUAAGCUGUAGUGCCUCUCCUCUUUCCCUCCAAUGUAGAGAGAGAUUACCCGGGAAUGAGCCUUCCUAGCAAUAUGGGGAAAAGCUACGUUUAAAAUGUUGAUUAUCAAUGCUUUCAGAAGAGGAAGAUCUCAAUCAAAAAGGGGAAAUGAGAAGAAAAGUAGCUCAGAGAUGUCUGAGCUAUGUGAGGUAUGCAAAAUGUAUCAGAUCCAGAGAGACAUGAGUAUUGAAAGCCAACUUGUAACUACUGCUAAUCAAAGCAUAUAUUCAUGGCAACUUGAAUCUGUGUCUCCUUGGUUGCAGUCCCCAAAUUUGGCCCAAAUAAAUUCUCGACUUAUGUUAA
ensembl:lncRNA CHODL-AS1 CHODL antisense RNA 1